rnacentral:lncRNA from 1 species
UCUCAACCCCACCAGACAGGAAGCCACACAGUCACUUCUGGAGGGGAAUAGUCCUGUGAGCUGGGGAUGGAGGGCUGGGAGAGAUGGUGCAGACUGGGACCGGCCACUCCUUGGACGCCUGUGGUGGAGGGUCCUGUCCUUUACCAUGGCCACCAUACCUCUGGGUGUGGACAGCAUCUGCUGAUGGAGGAAUUCCCAGCAAUGUCCCUCUGUGAUGCAUGCGGUGACUUUCCAGGCACCUUCAGACCAGAGCCAGUGGUAGCACUGGCAUCUCAGUCUCCUCCUGUGGGGGCUGGCUCGGCCUGCAGGAUGGCUGGGACACCCUGGACAGCCAGCUCGGGCAUUGUCCUUGCAGAUCCGGGAUGUUCCAGGAACAGCGGUAUAAAUCCUGUUGAGAACUGGCCAGGAGAGACCAGGAUCGGACAUCGGUGGUAUUUGGCCCCUCUGGACACCGGUCUGCAGAAGGAGAGAGGCCACCCUGACGGUAUUCCAGGGCUAGGCCACCCUGACGGUAUUCUGGGGCUCUGGGUAGACUGGUCCCGGUCGGGCCUUAUCGCCAAUCAGCCGACCCGAAGGAGUUUAUCGGGAAAGCCUCUAGAGACAGGGAAAAUGAAUAUGGCAUGAAAUUUUCUAAAGGCAAAUUACGAACCCUGUGUCAGUUAAGGUGGCUGGGAGUUGGACGGAGCAGGCCUUCUCCGAGCUGGCGCUUUCUCUGGGCUGGGUUGUGCUUCACUCCCGUUACCCAGAGCCCUGACAGCUGUCUGCACAUUUGUGGAGCUUCAGUGAGAGGCCAGCCUGCUAGAUUUCAAAACACUUGAAGCAUCAAGAACUAACAAAUGAGGGGCUGGGGAUUUAGCUCAGUGGUUCUGCCGCCUGCCUCUCAAGCACAAGGUCCCGAGUUUGAUCCCUGGCACCAAAAGAAAAAAAGAAAAAGAACUAACGAAUGAGAUUACAUCAAAUUAAGAGGCUCUGCACAGCAAAGAAAACAAUCAACAGAGUGAGGAGACGACCCACAGAAUGGGGAAAAAGUUUGCCAGUUAUCUCUCCAGCAGAGGACUAAUAUCUAGAGUAAAAAAGCAAAAACAAAAACCUAGACCUCCGAAAAUAAAGGACCCACUGGAAAAAUGGGCAAUGAAAACGCAUGGACACUUCUCCAAAGAGAUACAAAUGGCCGGUGAAAAAAUGUGCAACUCCCUGGACGUUAGAGAAAGGCAAAAUAAAACAACACUGAGAUUUUGUCUUCUAAAGAAAGGCCAUCAUCUGGGCCGGGGAUUUAGCUCAGUGGUUUCGCUGCCUACUGCGCAAGUUCGAUGCCUGGUACAAAAAAAAAAAAAAAAAAAAGAAUGGCCAUCAUCAUCAAGAAAACAAAUAAUAACAAACGACAAGGUGCAGGAGAAAAAGGAACCUAAAAAACUAAAACUAGAGAUUCCAUUUGAUCCAGUUAUCCCCUUCUAGAAUAAGUCAAAGACAUCGUAUUACAGAGAUCAAUCCAUGCACACCCAUGCUUAUAGCAGCACAACCUAUAAUAACUAAAUCCUGGAGGUGUCCACCAGCACAUGGGUAGAUAAAGAAAGUGUGGUAAUUACACACAAUGGAGUACUACUUUGCUAUAAAGAAGGAUAAACUCGAGUUGUUUGUAGGAAAAUGGAUGCACCUUGAGACCAUAAUGUUAAGUAAAAUAAAUCAGACAUACAGCUCAAAUAUCAUAUAGUUUCUCUUAUAUGAGAAACCCAAAAUAUAAAUAAUUUAAAGAGUGAAAUUAGAGAUAGAUAACAGGAAUCAGAAAUAGAUCUUUGGCCUGUUUCACUCGGUCUCAGCCAACUUCUGUAGCAUAGAAUUGAUUUUAGAAGUUUAAUCAAACUUUAAAUCUUAUUACAUGUCUUUACUAAAACAGAAUCCUUUCCACUGCUGGUGUAACAUCUGGUGUUCAUUUGGAAGCCAGCAUAAAGCACAGAAUGGAGCUUUUUGCAUCUGGAUCUGGACCUACACUCUUUUGAGCAUAGCCCUGAGGGCCUGGGCUCCCGCUGGGGCCUCAGGGAGGUGCGAACAUGGAGUGGUGGAG